CACUUCCUUGUCAAUGGGAACAUUAAUAUCCAAUGAACGUUUAGUGAGGAUAUUUUUGCUGACACCCAUAUUUGAAUAUACUAUUAGUAAGUUUAUCUGAGCAGAUAUCGAAAUGGGACA